GACGAACGCUGGCGGCGUGCUUAACACAUGCAAGUCGAACGAUGAAGCCUUAGCUUGCUUUGGUGGAUUAGUGGCGAACGGGUGAGUAACACGUGAGCAACGUGCCCAGGACUCUGGAAUAACCGCGGGAAACCGUGGCUAAUACCGGAUAGGUGCCGAGGCCGCAUGGUCUUCGGUUGGAAAGUUUUUGCGGUUCUGGAUGGGCUCACGGCCUAUCAGCUUGUUGGUGGGGUAAUGGCCUACCAAGGCGACGACGGGUAGCCGGCCUGAGAGGGUGACCGGCCACACUGGGACUGAGACACGGCCCAGACUCCUACGGGAGGCAGCAGUGGGGAAUAUUGCACAAUGGGCGCAAGCCUGAUGCAGCAACGCCGCGUGGGGGAUGACGGCCUUCGGGUUGUAAACCUCUUUUAGUAGGGAAGAAGCGCAAGUGACGGUACCUGCAGAAAAAGCACCGGCUAACUACGUG
rnacentral:rRNA from 1 species